UCUGGCGUUUGGAACUUAGGAUG
rnacentral:misc_RNA from 1 species